GGUAGCGUGGCUCACUGGAAAGAGCAUGGGCUUUGGAGUCAGAGGUCAUGGGUUCGAACCCCAGCUCUGCCA
rfam:Ornithorhynchus anatinus chromosome X1, whole genome shotgun sequence.